rnacentral:rRNA from 1 species
UAACGUAGGGACCGAGCGUUGUCCGGAAUUCAUUGGGCGUAAAGAGCGUGUAGGCGGCCACUUAAGUCCUGCGUGAAAUCUUGCGGGCUCAACCGCAAGCGGUCGUGGGAAACUGGGUGGCUAGAGUGCGGGAGAGGAGAGUGGAAUUCCUGGUGUAGCGGUGGAAUGCGCAGAUAUCAGGAAGAACACCCGUGGCGAAGGCGGCUCUCUGGAACGCAACUGACGCUGAGACGCGAAAGCGUGGGGAGCAAACAGG